AAAUUUAAUUAUAGUUUAAGUAAAAAUUAUUUGAAUUUUCUUUAUAUAUUAAAAUGUUAAUUAUUUGAUGAUUAUUAAAUAGAAGAUAUUUUUAUUAUUUUAAAAUAAUUAAAAUAGAAAUUUGAAUUUUAGGUUUGGUUAAACUUGUGCCAGCCGCCGCGGUUAUACAAGUAAGUUAUUUUUUACAUUAAUUAUUUGUAAUAAAAUUAUAUUUUGAUUUUAGAAGUCUAUUGAGGUGAAAUUUAUAGAUUUUUUUUAAAAAAAAUUUGAUUUUACAGGAAUUUAAUUUUUAAACUAGGAUUAGAUACCCUAUUAUUUUAAGCUUAAUGUUGUUAGUAAUUAAAAUUUAUGAAAUCAUAAGAUUUUGGCGGUAUUUUAAGCUUUUUAGAGGAAUUUGCCCCGUAAUGGACAUAACGCCUAGAUCUUGCUUAAUUUUGUUAAGACAGUUUGUAUACCACUAUAUUAAUUAUAUUGAAUGAUUAUUAUUAAAAUUUCAUAGUGAAAAUAUAUUAAGUCAAGGUGCAACUUAUAAUUAUGAAUGAGGUGAAUUACAUUAAUUUUGAUGAAUUUAUAAUAAUGAAAAGUUUUUUAGGAUUUAAUAGUAAAAUAUUAAUAUUAUGAAUAUUUGAAUUAAGCUCUAAAAUAUGUACAUAUCGCCCGUCGCUCUCAUAGGUGAGAUAAGUCGUAACAUAGUAAAAAUACUGGAAAGUGUUUUU
rnacentral:ncRNA from 1 species